rnacentral:rRNA from 1 species
AUUAGUAAUCUUAGCACGUUGAAUGCACCACUUCCCGAGUUCCCAAUGGAUUACACUGCAGUUAAGCAACGUGACCCGUGGUCCAUAUCAGGAUGGGUGACCAUCUGGAUAAUCGCAUGUUGCUGGCU